rnacentral:rRNA from 1 species
CGCAAACUUUUUUUUCGAUAUGAACUCUAAAAAAAAAUAACGCUGUUAUCCCUAAGGUAAUUUAAUCUUAUAAUCAUAAAUUAUGGAUCAUUUAUUCAAAUAUCAUUGUUAUAAUAUAAAAAAAGUUUAUUAAAUUUUUUAAUUACCCCAAUCAAAUAUAUACCACUAUAUGCUUAAUUUUAAUGUACUUAAAAUUUUUAAACAUAUACUUAUUUAUAAAAAUUCUAUAGGGUCUUCUCGUCUUUUAAAGUUAUUUAAGCUUUUUUACUUAAAAAUAAAAUUCUAAUUAAAUUUAAAUUGAGACAGUUUUUUCCUCGUCAAACCUUUCAUACCAGUUCUCAAUUAAAAAACUAAUUAUUAUGCUACCUUUGCACGGUCAAAAUACCGCGGCCAUUUAAAAAUAAUUAUUCAUGGGGCAGGUCAGACUUUAUAUUAUAAUCAAAAAGACAU